GUGCCAAGGCCAAUAAAAGCUACAUUUGUGGACGAGCCAAAACUAAAGAGCCUUUUCAAGAAAACAGGUUGAUACCAAGGCAGACAUGCAGAGAGAAGCAGAGAUGGAACGGGGCUACAGAGAGAAAGAGGCAGUGGCUGCCUGCUGACUUUUCGGUCAACUGAAACCCAGAUGCCAGGCUCUGUGCUGGGAAGAAGAAAUUCAGAGAUGAGCCUUGGGACUUGGACUGAAAUUUAUAUCACUGGCUUUCCUGCAUGUCCAGCUUGCAGAUGGCAGAUCAUGAGACUUCUGAGCCUCCAGAAUCGCG